rnacentral:tRNA from 1 species
GAGGGUAUAGCUCAGGGGUAGAGCGCGUGCUUAACAUGCACGAGGUCCUGGGUUCAAUUCCCGGUACCUCCA